AAUAUUAGAUGUAAAUAAUAAUUACUUACAUCUAAUAUUCUUAAAAAUAUAAUUGUUAAACCUGAUACAACACCAUCUUAAUAUAUAUUAUGAUGUAAUAUAUUCUGCAGUUUACAGAGAAUUAUUCCCUAUAUAUAGUUUGAACACAAAUGCAACUACUGUGUGUACAAGAGAGUGAGUAAAAAUUGAUAAAGAUAAGAUGCUGCAUGAGCUGAAUAUUAAUACACAAUGUUGUUCUUUAAAUGGAUUACGAUGGCAACAUCCUUUUAAUGGCUAUUGUGUAUUAUUUAAAUCCUUGCUCAACUGUUAUUAAGCAAAACCCAGAAGUCAUGCAGCUUGCUUCUAUGAAGGAGACGAAUAUCUUGUUGUUGUGGUGGCCCCUCAAAAAAGCUUGUUGAUAUUAUACACGCCAAACUGUAGUUUUUUUAUGCAUUUAAUCUAGAGUAUUCUUCUAGUUCAAAAUCAUUUUGGGAAAUGUUGGCAGUCUAUAUUAAAAAAAUCUUAUUUUAUCAAUAAAGGCAAGUCAACUAUUGAAAUCAUUAACUGUAAAUAAACCAUAAAGUCAUUUUUAAAGAUAUUUUUUAAUGAGUAAAACAUAAACAGGAACAUAUUUUAUGUACUUUAUAAAUAAAUGUGUGUAUGGUAAUUUUCAAA